UACAGAGGGUGCGAGCGUUAAUCGGAAUUACUGGGCGUAAAGCGCACGUAGGUGGCGACGUAAGUCGGGUGUGAAAGCCCCGGGCUCAACCUGGGAAUUGCAUUCGAGACUGCAUUGCUGGAGUACGGAAGAGGAAGGCGGAAUUCCCGGUGUAGCGGUGAAAUGCGUAGAUAUGUCAUAGAAUACCGAUUGCGAAGGCAGCUGACUAGACCUAUAUUGACGCUGAGGCACGAAAGCGUGGGGAGCGAACAGG
rnacentral:rRNA from 1 species